rnacentral:rRNA from 1 species
CCAUGCCGCGUGUGUGAAGAAGGCCUUCGGGUUGUAAAGCACUUUCGGACGGAACGAAAUCGCGCGCAUGAAUAAUGCGCGUGGAUGACGGUACCGUAAGAAGAAGCACCGGCUAACUACGUGCCAGCAGCCGCGGUAAUACGUAGGGUGCAAGCGUUAAUCGGAAUUACUGGGCGUAAAGGGUGCGCAGGCGGCCCCGCAUGUCAGGCGUGAAAUCCCCGGGCUUAACUUGGGAAUGGCGCUUGAAACUACGGGGCUGGAGUGUGGCAGAGGGAGGUGGAAUUCCACGUGUAGCGGUGAAAUGCGUAGAGAUGUGGAGGAACACCGAUGGCGAAGGCAGCCUCCUGGGCCAACACUGACGCUCAUGCACGAAAGCGUGGGGAGCAAACAGGAUUAGAUACCCUGGUAGUCCACGCCCUAAACGAUGACGACUAGUUGUUGGGGGAGUUAAAUCCCUUAGUAACGCAGCUAACGCGUGAAGUCGUCCGCCUGGGGAGUACGGUCGCAAGAUUA